UUUUAAAACCAAAUUAAAAAGCUUUUUGUUCAAAUCUGCAGAAGAAGGGAGACCGCCGUCCCUGUCCUCGGUCGCUUCAUCUUCGAGACCUUCGCCCAUUCAACUCCGUCUCAGGCAGAGGAAAGGAGAGCGUCAAUACUUCGCAAUGGUACGGGCAUCGUGCGAAGCUACCAGACGUGGGUGAGACGACGUGGGCAGUUGCUAUGCGUUCGUGCGUGAAGACGAUUGCUGCAACGUGGGGGCGAGGGUGACGCCGAUCUGCUGCUUAUUGCCAAAGGUUUCUGCUGUUCAUUUUUUUGUGUUUUAGGCUAAUGGGUUAGGUAUUUGGGCUGUUUGGGUACUGGGCUUGUAAUUUGGUUAUUGGGUCAGGGUGUUAUUGGGUUUGUAAUUGUCUUUAAUUUUAGUUUUUGGUUUGGGCCCGGGCUAAAAUGGCCUAUUACAGAGUUAAGGCGGUCCAAGUCAGAUGAAAUCAAGUCAAAUCAAAAUAAUAAUAAAAAAUUAAAACGUUGAUCGACGAUUGAUGAACAUGUAACAAUGCAUGGGCCUCUAUUUGAAGGUUUGACGACGGGUGACGCAUAUAUGUAAUGGGGUGUUUUCGAGCAUCUUAUGGCUCAUAUGAUGUUUUUCACUAUUUGCAUUAUUUUGUUAUAUGCCAUGUUUAAAUACAAUAUUGCAUUAAUUUAUCUUUUGAUGUCA